GAUGAAGAACGCAGCGAAAUGCGAUAAGUAAUGUGAAUUGCAGAAUUCAGUGAAUCAUCGAAUCUUUGAACGCACAUUGCGCCCCUUAGUAUCCCGAGGGGCAUGCCUGUUCGAGCGUCAUUUCACCACUCAAGCCUGGCUUGGUGUUGGGCGACGUCCCCUUUAGGGACGCGCCUCGAAACGCUCGGCGGCGUGGCACCGGCUUUAAGCGUAGCAGAAUCUUUCGCUUUGGAAGUCGGGGCCCCGCCUGCCGGAAUACCUACUCGUAAGGUUGACCUCGGAUCAGGCAGGGAUACCCGCUGAACUUAAGCAUAUCAAUAAGCGGAGGA
rnacentral:misc_RNA from 1 species